GACGUAGGGCGCGAGCGUUGUCCGGAUUUAUUGGGCGUAAAGAGCUCGUAGGCGGCUUGUCGCGUCGUCCGUGAAAACCUGGGGCUCAACUCCAGGCUUGCGAUCGAUACGGGCAGGCUAGAGUUCGGUAGGGGAGACUGGAAUUCCUGGUGUAGCGGUGAAAUGCGCAGAUAUCAGGAGGAACACCGGUGGCGAAGGCGGGUCUCUGGGCCGAUACUGACGCUGAGGAGCGAAAGCGUGGGGAGCGAACAGG
rnacentral:rRNA from 1 species